GCUCCUCCGGCCCCAGGACGGUAUGAGGACCUGCAUUUGGAUUCCGUGGACUCGGGAGCCUUGAGGUGCCAGGUCCUUCUCCUGUCUGGGGGGGACUGAGUGUCUGGGUGGUAGGUGCCUUUUUCUGCGGACAUUCCUCGGCUGUCGUGGGUGAUGCAUGAAGGCUGUGCCUCGGGGGGACCUCAGUCCAGGCGGUCGGACUGUAGGGUGUGCCCAGGCUUGUUUAGCUAUUCCGCCUGGAGGAAAUCCAUUUCGCCUCAGCUCGAUGUCAUGUUGCUCGGGCAUGGUCAAUGCCGGUGGCUGUCGUCUAUUUUCCAAUCUUUUCCAGAAUUGCUGGCAUAUCGCUUCAAAUUUAUGUGUGAAAGCUGUUUCCCAGUCGCUUAGUGUCCUCCGUUCCAGAGGGAUUGCGGUGCCGUCGGCCAUCUUAGAGAUGUCUCGUGUCAGUCGUCUACAGGAGAUAUCUCCCAGGAGUGAUCCAGGGGUGACUGCUCGCUUGUAGUGGGGGCCGGGAUAACCCCCACCGGCCUAGAGGGGGAGGGAGUGCGGGGCUCUGAGAGACCUCCAACAAAGGGAGUCAGGAGUGGUCAGCCGUUUCACCUGUCGGGGAGCCACCAGGCCGCAGUAGCUGUAGGCCGCAGACACCAGUCGAGAGUGGU